rnacentral:tRNA from 1 species
GAAGGUAUAGCUCAGUGGUAGAGCACAUACUUAGCAUGCACAAGGUCCUGGGUUCAAUCUCUAGUACCUCCA